CAGUCGCCGCGGUAAUACGAAGGGUGCAAGCGUUACUCGGAAUUACUGGGCGUAAAGCGUGCGUAGGUGGUGGUUUAAGUCCGUUGUGAAAGCCCUGGGCUCAACCUGGGAAUUGCAGUGGAUACUGGGUCACUAGAGUGUGGUAGAGGAUAGUGGAAUUUCCGGUGUAGCAGUGAAAUGCGUAGAGAUCGGAAGGAACAUCUGUGGCGAAGGCGACUAUCUGGGCCAACACUGACACUGAGGCACGAAAGCGUGGGGAGCAGACAGGAUUAGAUACCCGAGUAGUCCCUGUCUCUUAUAC
rnacentral:rRNA from 1 species